CCGAAUCCGCGCGCGCAAAUACGUACACACACACAUGUACAUGAAAAACCCUAGACAUUGAAUCCAACAUUCUAAUAAUUCAUUUGUCUCAUGUAAGAUUAAAAAAAAAAAAAAAAUCGUUUAAAUUUUUUUUUUGACAGUAUUUCUAUUACCUGUUGAAAAUAUUCCGUUUUCGUUGAUUUUCAUUCUUUGGAAUUUACAAGGCGGAGGAGGAAAAUUGGAAUUCCCAUAAUACCCCCGGUUGAAGCAGCUAAUGAAUCUCUUACAACUGAUUGUGAAAAAAGGAAAACUUUCGGAGGAGGCAUCGUCAGAGGAUGAGUUGAGUGAAGCAGCGAAACCGAGUGAUUUAGCAUGUAAUUUUGAUGUGCUGAAGUUUGAUGGAGAAAAUUGCAGAAAGGCAAUUGCUAGGACGGUAAUGGUAAAACAUUUACUUUUUAAUGUUCUGUAACUGCACUUUGUCAUAGUUUUAGUCUGCACUUUGCGCUAGUUUUAAUCUCCCAGAUUCGAUAACUGUUGGUAUAUUAGAGGCAGCAAUUGAAAACACUGUUUAGGGAGGAUCCCCAAAGGGUACCUAUGUCUCAAUUAAAUGGCUAGUGAAUGGCAGUUGCAUAGGAAGAUGCUGAAUUUUCUUUUUUACUUCCGGAUAAGGGCCGGGGAGACCAUUGGGAAGCUAAUUGAGAGUUCUUUGCUUGACUUGGGAUAUUAAACAGUUAUUGGCAAUUACGGUUGAUAAUUCAAUUCAAGUGUUUAUGGUGAUGCUAUUAGUUAUGUCAAGAGGUAGUUGAACGAUUGGAGUGGAAAUGCGAUUUUGUUGGAUGGUGAGCGGAGGUUUUCUUAUGAUAACCCUAAGGUUGAAGAGAUGAUCAAAGAGGUUAAAGAGCCCUUGUCGCGUCUUUAUGAGUUGUACGGUGCAUUGAACACUUCCGGUGACUCCAAAGCUCCUAUCGAUGCUCAAGCAAGUGGAACGGAUAUGGAAAAUGGAAAAGACAAAGAUGAUUCUGAGUGGAGGUCUCCUUAUAAGAAGUAUUUGAAAGGAAAAUAUGGCACUAAGCUGACAAUUCAAGAUGAUAGGUACUUGUCGGGAACUAAUGAGUUUUUCGAAUGGCAACUUCAAACAAUCUAAAAUGGUGGAAAGUAUGUUCUCAGAAGUACCCUAUUUUAAUAGCGAGGGAUCUAUUUUUUAUUAGAGUAUCUGAGUUUUCAUUUAACACUGAUGGGCGGAUUCUUGAUUUGUUUCAAAGUUCAUUGGGCCUGGAGACAGUUCAGGCAGUAAUAUGUUUACAUAAUUGGUUACAAUCCUCUGCUGCUCCUGUAGAUAAUUUCACCCAGGAGAUGGAGAUUAAUGAUUUAAUUGAAUCUGGUAACAAUUUAAAGGCUUGUUACAAUUUGUCUUUAUUUAUUCAGUACUUUUUUAAUUAGUUCCUAUGAUUUUUUCUCUUUUUGCCUCGUCUGUUUCAAGUAGAGCUUUGAGGAUCAUGACAAGGAAUGGAGCAUCUGGCAUAUGGCUAUGAAUUAAUAUGAUAUUCUUGCUAAUUGUUUUAAUAAGGCACUUAUUGACUUCUUAAGAUUUAAGUAUUCUGUUUAUCUUAUCUUAUGCCUAACAUAUAUUGCUUUCAUUUUGUUUUUUAGUUGGCGGGUAAUGUUUUAAGGAUUGGAAACUAUGAGGUUCUGAAUUUCAAAUUUUGAAACGGGAUCAUGCAUGCUUGGGGGCUUAGAAGUGAUGUUGGAGUGUGGAUUGAGGAAACAAAUACAUCUGGAUUGGAAUGCUUGGCUUUGAUGCAUCGAAGUCAAUAGGUAUGUAUCUAUAGUGUUCUUCAUCUGGUCUACUCUGAUUCUCAUUCUAUAUAUUAUAAAACCACUCGUAGUGAUAUAACAAUGACAUAUUGAUUUGGUCGAGUUUUCAUCUUUAAUUUUCCCAGAUAUUUGAUCUCAAGUGAGAAAUGAAUGGUAAAACACCUUAUCACCUGUUCUUUCAAAUACAAGUCAGUAAGGAUCAUCUCAGUAUCAAAAAUAUAUAUAUUCACAUUUUAUUUGGUUGAAACAGAAGUUGUAUAAUAAGCAUAAUUUUUUUAAAAAAUAUAUAAGAAUUUGAUCCUGAACUUAUAACCAAUCCCUGAACUGCGUUGGUUUGGAUCAACUCUGUUUGAGCUUCAAAUUUGGGUUGGUUUGGUUUGAACUCUCAGACAGCCCAAACAGCUGAGAUGCCAUAGGUUUCUAACUCCAACCAACCUAAUUCAUGCUUACUCUUGGUAAGUCCCAGAUAUACGUUACGAAUACAACAAUAUCAAAAAGUUUUAGUGGAAGUAUAAAUGCAGUUGAUAAACAGAUUGUCCCUACAAGUUUGUUUCUAGCUCUAACCAGCCUAAUUCAUGGUUACUUUUACAAAAACACAAUGUUUGGUGUACACAUAUACUUCCUGUUCCAUCAUCGACUAACUAAAAGAAUUCUUUGCGCAUGUUGUACUGCUUGAUUUUAAACUAUUUAGUCGUCCGCCGCCUUAUGUUAUUGAAGGAUAAUUGAAUUACUUAUCCUCACUCCCACAAAAACUUGUCUAGAGCAAGAGAAUAGCUCAAUUUUCAUUGUUGCUUAACUGCUUUUAUUGGAUCAUCAUUUAUAUUCUCGGUCUGUAUCCUUUUUGUGAAGUCUUAAAUUAUUGCUGGUACAAAUGUGUUGCUGAUCUUAACCACAGAUCCAGCUCUUUCACUUUUGUUGGAGAAGCUGGAUUGAAUCAACAAAGCUUAGGUCCAGCCAUUUCGCAUGUUUCCAGUUGCUUUCACUUCAAAUUUUAUGUACUUAAACCUUUUGAAAGACCCUGAUCAGUGUACAUUGUACAACAAAAUUGACAACUCUCUUUAAUUCUAAUUAAUUAAGGAGUUCUAAUUGAGUAUGGCUAGUUCUGGUCUCUGGGUUCUGAAUUCAUUUAACCUCAAGAUUUCUAUGGUAUAUUUAUUUGUUUGGCCAUCUAUUGUUGAUGUGCAACUGAACGUAAAAGAUUUCUGUAAUCUUACACAACGAUAAUGAUCUAGAGGACUCAUUUUCCAACUAACAGAUUCCAUUCUCUAUCUUUGGCUAGAAUUUCCUCUCCAUUAUUUGGAUGGUGAUUUGACAACUACCUGGGGGGGGGGGGGAAAUAUCACUGAUCCUUUCAAGAUGAAAGGACUGAGAACCCGCAACCACCAUUAAUUGCUAGUAAUUUGAUUGAUUAAUCAUCCAGAUUGAAUUCAAGAUGAAGCUAGGUUGAAAACAAUUAGGCACUGUAUGUUAAAAAAAUCCAGCUGGUGUGGCUUAAAAUUUGGGCAUAAUUUUGAAUUAUUUUCCUCAUGAAAUUGCAAUUUUUAAAAUAUCUUAAGUUAUUGUAAACAUAUUUAUUUCUCA
rnacentral:lncRNA from 1 species